GCCCUUAGAGUUUGAUCCUGGCUCAGGAUGAACGCUGGCGGCGUGCCUAAUACAUGCAAGUCGAACGAAUCUUCUUCGGAAGAUGAGUGGCGAACGGGUGAGUAAUACAUAGGUAACCUGCCCCUGUGCGGGGGAUAACAGGAGGAAACUCCUGCUAAUACCGCAUAGCCAUGAGCACCGCAUGGAGCUCAUGCCAAAUAUCCUUCAGGGGAUAGCGCAGGGAUGGACCUAUGGCGCAUUAGCUAGUUGGCGGGGCAACGGCCCACCAAGGCAACGAUGCGUAGCCGGCCUGAGAGGGCGGACGGCCACAUUGGGACUGAGACACGGCCCAGACUCCUACGGGAGGCAGCAGUAGGGAAUUUUCGGCAAUGGGGGAAACCCUGACCGAGCAACGCCGCGUGAGCGAAGAAGGCCUUCGGGUCGUAAAGCUCUGUUGUAAAGGAAGAACGUCGCAUGCAGGAAAUGGUGUGCGAGUGACGGUACUUUACCAGAAAGCCACGGCUAACUACGUGCCAGCAGCCGCGGUAAUACGUAGGUGGCGAGCGUUAUCCGGAAUCAUUGGGCGUAAAGAGGGAGCAGGCGGCCGCAAGGGUCUGUGGUGAAAGACCGAAGCUAAACUUCGGUAAGCCAUGGAAACCGGGCGGCUAGAGUGCGGAAGAGGAUCGUGGAAUUCCAUGUGUAGCGGUGAAAUGCGUAGAUAUAUGGAGGAACACCAGUGGCGAAGGCGACGGUCUGGGCCGCAACUGACGCUCAUUCCCGAAAGCGUGGGGAGCAAAUAGGAUUAGAUACCCUAGUAGUCCACGCCGUAAACGAUGGUCACUAAGUGUCGGGGGUCAAACCCCGGUGCUGCAGUCAACGCAAUAAGUGACCCGCCUGAGUAGUACGUUCGCAAGAAUGAAACUCAAAGGAAUUGACGGA
rnacentral:rRNA from 1 species